UGGUUUCCUAGAGUUCCAGAACCUCGGGAUCUUCAAGAAUCUACCCCCAAAACCCUGGAGAUGUCAACCUUGAGAGAUUUUCCUUAAGAGAAUAUUUGGGUGGCUCCUCAGACACCCAUUCCUUCCAAAGCACUGAAUUUGAGCUCACCAAAACCUACAGACUCUCCCUGCCCCCCACCCGGCUCUCCUGCUUCUGAAAUCCAAGAGAAUAAGGACACCUUCUCCUCAGGACUGGCGCUGGAACCCUGUUGGUGAAUGCUGAGGAAGGGGGAGAAAGUUACUUCGCAGGCAGCAGGGAUGGAUAGGCUCACCUUCCAUGUUUGUUGCCAUGGAGAUGAAUUCCAGCCAGAAGACUUGUUGGCAGAUCAAGACGUGAGCUCUCUGUGGGCUGAUCAACCCUGCAACUACCCAGGAAUUAGUAUUAUGAGCUGGCCCACCCCUACAUCCACCCAUCUGUGAUCU